GCCGGUGCAAGGCCGCCGCCUUUACCCCGUCUGCGGGCGCGGCGGAGCGCGACUUGGUGGUGAGGGGCGGUGGAAUCGCCCCGGGAGCGCCCAGCCCACGGCGAACUGUCUUCAUUUUAUAUAGAAAACGAUGAUGAGGCUUCGUUGCUCCUUUAUGAGAAGAAAGAUUGGUAAAAUGCAUCCGGGAAGAAAAAUUGCUGUAUUUAUAAUGGCCCCAUUAUUGGAACUCUGCAACAUGUGAGUGCAAUCUGCACUGCUCCAGAAUAUUGAGUCUUUAAAAUUUUACCCAUGCAGUCUGUUUGCUGGUUCAAAUGAUCUGCUUUUUUCAAGUGGUUUUAAGUAAUGCCUCACUGAUUGAAUUAUAAUUUUUCUGAUUUCUGUAAUUGCCAAGAAUGUCCUUGGCAAAACAUACAUAGGAUGUGUUUCAUCCAAUUUUGAAAUGUAUUUUGUAAUCGGAAUAAUAAAAGUUAAUAUUCAUCAGUUCCUCCCAU